GAGAGCCCGGCAACACCUCAGCCCGAGCCCGGCGAGGUCUCUGGGCUCCUGGAGCGAGGUGAGCGCCCCAGGCCGCGGUCCUGCCUACGCCGGGACAGCCAUGGCGACUGGGUCCUGCUCCUUCCCGGCCGGACUGACGCGGCCUCCCAGGACCCGAGCACAUCACUGACAGAAGACCGAAAAGCUCGUAGUAAAGGCCCCUCUAAAUUUAGAGAGAGGUGGCAUCUCACUACGUGGCCUAGGCUGAUCUCCCUCUCCUGGACUCACAUGAUCCUCCCACCUUGGCCCUUCAACGUGCUGAGAUCGCAGGUGUGAGCCACCACACCCGGCCCUGAUAAAACUCAUCAGUGCUUUGAAACAAGCAGCUCUGAACCAAAGAAAUCAUUUGAUUCAAGUAACCAUUGGAUCUUCCCAAGGCAAUGGUGAAAGAAAAGAAAAAAGCAGACAAAAAAGGGGAGAAGUCUGCCCGCUCUCCCUCAUCUCUCUCUGAUAAUCUAGACUUUUCCAAACAAGAUGGCAACACCACUAGGCAAGAGAUGUCCCCAGCUGGUGUCCCAUUGCUGGGAAUGCAGCUCAACGAAGUGAAACCCAAAAAA
rnacentral:lncRNA from 10 species